CCUAGGAUAAGAUGUUUUAAAAGUCUCGUUGCAGCUCAUAUGAGGAGCUGCAGACCUCUCUGAGAUCGGAACUCUUUAUUUUCACCAUUCUAAUCAUUGUGAUGGUUUUAUUUUUCAGAGGAAAGAAAAAGAGCAUAGGAAAAGUAAGCGAGGCCCCCAGGAUCGCACACCUGGUAUAAAGGACGCUGACAUAAACUCCGUCUGACUCCAGAGCUCUUUUUUCAGCAUGAUCCUAUUCUGUCUCGCCAGUGGAUUGGCAGAUGUCAAUCUCAGUCCAGAUGCUUCCGUAUCAAAAGCUGAGCACAUCAGAACACUGAAGAGAGGCAUCAUCACACACAUUAUCAUAUCGCCUAUUCAAUUAAACCCACUGCAAGAAGUCCUCACAUUGUGAGUGAGAUGGUACACACGAAUACCCCGCAACGAAUCCUGGGGCAACUGCUGGUUAUUAGGUUUAUCAGGCUGAACGAGGUAGUAUGACCAGACGGAUGUGCCAGGAUCAAAUGUCACACUCGGACAGCUGUGGAACAGAGCUCAGUGAUCCCACCUAUUCUGUAAGCUGCUCCACGGACUCCUGGGCCUGACUUCAAAAAAGGUAACACGUCAAUAAGAUUGCACAAGAAGAUAUGGCAGGAGAAAUGGCUUAUACAUGGGGUUUCUCUAAGCAUUUAUUAAUACUAUAGCGAAACUACAUUAUUGUCAAACACAGGAAGAAUAGAGCAAAGAAAAAGAAUUACCUAAUAAACUACUCUUGUAGGGAAUAGUGGAUUUAUUCAGUAGAAGGACCUUCCUAGCAUGCUUUAGACACUGGGUUUCAUGGCCAGGGGAACAAAACAAACCUAACCUUGGAAACAAAUACUGCCAAAAUGGCGGUGUUUCCAAAGCCCACAUUCAAUAAGCACAUUCAAGUUCUCAAAGCUCGUAUUCAGACUUGAAGUGUAGACCUGUAGCCAUAGCUCUGUGGGAAGCUGAGGCACUGUGCUAUAGCCUUAUCAGUGCCAUGCUGUCUGAACAUACACUGGUCCCCAGGAUGCUCUUUUCCCAACAGAUGCAAGUUCAAGACCUGGCUGGACACUGUCUCAGAUUUUUCUAAAAAUAAAAAGAGAGAGAUCUAGAGAUGUAUCUUAGUGGUAGAAUGCUUGCCUAGCAUGUGCAAGAAUACUCUGGGUUAAAUCUCUAGGGUGCACACACACACA
rnacentral:lncRNA from 1 species